GGAGCACGCGGCAGACGUCCAGUGGCCGCGAGAUAUGUUUGAUAUUCUUGGUUGUGCCACGAACCAACCAGGAGUCAGACAUAUGCUCGCGGAGCUGGUCCCAUCACCGACGGCGGAG
rnacentral:precursor_RNA from 14 species